CGAGCCGCGCCACGCCGCCCACGCAGCGGCUGGCGUUGACGCACUUGCCCGAGUCCUCGCUGGUCUGCUCCAGGCGGCUGUGCACGUCGUUGGUGUGCAGGACGGAAUGCUGAGCUGGUGGUGGCCCAGGCAAGGGCACCCAUGGGAGCUGACAGAGGAGCACCAACCCUGCCUGGAUGGGUCAGAGGAAGCCCCGUGGAAGACAUAAUGCCCACACUGAGCCCUGGAGAACUGGGCUGGUGACUAGUCCUGGUGACAGAAGCAUUCACCACUGCGUCCGCUGCUGCGAGCAUCCUCAGUGAUACCAUCCUCCAUAAAGCAGAUUGGUCCUGCGGUCCUGAAGAGGUGAUGUGUGACCAUUAACAGUUGCUGCUAUGGAUUCCAUAAUUUCUGAAGUCCCUGGAUGAGGCAGGUGCGGUCUGUGAACUCAGAAUGAGUUCUUUUCAGAAUGCAGGCGGGACUUUCCUUGCAACAAAAGUGGGACUCCUGCGUGAGGAGUAAAUCUCCACCCAAUGACGGCAGUGGCCAGCCAGCUGAGGCCUGAAUGACAGACUUUCAACAUCAGACUCAACUUCGGGUCCGAUAGUCAAUGAAGCAUGCCCUUGAGCAGAGGAGAGAAUUGCCACAUGCGUGUCCGUCAUGCUGUUCCUUGUGGUAGCCUACAAGCCCAGAAUUCUAUACAUCCAUAAUGCAUGCGAGUUCAAUGAGAGUCACAGUACAAGAAAGCACAAGUCCUGGAGACAUCAGGAGAGUAAGGAGUUUCCUUGGGCUUCCAAAUGGUGCUCCAAUGAGAUGAACUACAGGCACCCAUGAUGCGGCACAAAAAGCCAUCUUGGAAAACAACCUGAGAGAAGAGUAAAAUCCUGAGAUGUCUACUUUUUAAUGGAUACAGGAUGCCACGUUCCAUUUAUAGUCAUUUUGUUACCAUGACUUCUUGGGCUGCUCUCGGCUGUGGCAACUUUACAGACUUUCCCUGUUUUGAUGACUUUGGCAGUUUCGAGGAAUACUGGUGAGUUGUUUGUAGAUUGUUCCUCAGUUAGGAUUUGUCUGAUGGGAUUCCCACGAUUCCACUGUGCUGGUGGGUGUUGGGGAGGAAGACCACAGAGGUGAAGUGACAUCCUUAUCCCAUCAUGUCAAGGGCACAUGUUCUCAGCGUCUCUGAUCUCCUGGCGGUGGUCAUGUCUGUCGGCUCCUCCACUGUCCAGUCACUUUCUCCCACCUUCCUACGCUGUACUCUUCGGAAG